rnacentral:lncRNA from 1 species
AUUACUUGCAUUUUGUUUGAUAUUUGACAUUAAAUCUUAUUCAACUGUCCAAAGAAAUUGAAACAAUUCUUGCUUUUAGGAAGAAUCGCUGGAACUCAUACUUCUUUCUUCUUUUGACUCUACUACUCCCCUGUAUUUAGAAGGGAAAACAGAAAAUAAAAAAUGUAGUCCAGACUCCAGCCUCUAUAUGAAAGGAAAGUGAAGGGACGGUGAAGGAGAGAAUUAGGAGAGUCACUGAGGGGCUGCGAAGACGGUUUACAUUAAAUAAAUAAAUAAAUAAAUAAAGGAUAGAAAGGGAAAGAAAACGAAGCAUUUGAAGGGAGAUAAUAGCAGACUUGCCAAAAAUCUGGUAAAAAACAGGUGCAGAAGGUUUUACUUCACUUACAGUUCUGAAAAGCCGACCAUCUGCAAAACUUGCUUACAAAGAAGUCUCUGCAGCAGAAUGGUCAAAGAAUGAUUUGUCUGACAUUGAAGUCUCAAGAGCUAGAUACAGCAAAGAUGCUUGCAUAUCAUUUAGACAUAUCUUCUCUAGUAUUGGCACAAACUUCGUUCUAAACCAAAAGACAAGAAAAUAGAAAAAUCAAUCCAAGUUUUACGAUACAUAUGGUUCUAACACAAGUAGUUACUUGGAAGAAAUCUCUGAUCUCCGAUCGAUAUGGGAGCGAUGGUGAAUGAGUCAUGAGUCUAGUAUACAAAUAGGAAGUUAGCAGUCGCAACGAUAGUGAACUCUGACUCUUCUUGUUUGAGGUGGACAAACGAUGAAAAGCAGCAGUGCCAAUAGCAGGAGCAGCACCAAAUUUAGCAGCAGACUAUGAUCAUCACCACCUGAGCCGCAGCAUGCGCUUCCCAUGCUAUUUCUUCUGCUGCAGAAAAUCUCCUGAAAAAAACAGCCGAAACGUCGCUGUGGUGCGAACAAGAAAUCAGAAGACUUUCAGCUCCAAAGCAGCAAAAAUAAAGAAGGAAAAUGAUAGAGAUCUUGAGUGUUUAAGAGGCUUGCAAACAUUAACUGAAGGUAGGUACCAGGGAAAGCCAAUUCAACAGCUCUAUGAUUGUUUAUGAUGAGAUUAAGACCAGAGGUUGCGAGGGAUGGACGAAAGGUAUAUAGAGAAAUUGAAAAGCAAAUUCUAUCCUCAGUGUAUGGCAUCCAAUUGAUGAUUGACACGUUAACCAAUUUGCUUUGCAUAUUUCAUUUUCAGUUCUGUCUUAAUGUUCGUACGUUCUGUGGCUUUGUGUGGUUCAGUGAAGGAAGGUCAUGGCAUAGGAGUGCAGCUCUUUUCUUCAGUGUUCCGCCCUUGGUGGUUACGUGUAUGCUCUGGGACGAGACGACGAAAGCAGCCAGACAUGGAAACUGUUGUUUGCGUAUACGUCAAAAGCUAGUGGAAAUAAGCAUGUGCAUGAGUUUUAGGUUAUAAUAAAAUAAAUAGAUAGCAAAUGGCACUGCUGUUGG